rnacentral:rRNA from 1 species
UACGAAGGGACCGAGCGUUGUCCGGAAUCAUUGGGCGUAAAGAGCGUGUAGGCGGCCACUUAAGUCCUGCGUGAAAUCUUGCGGCUCAACCGCAAGCGGUCGUGGGAAACUGGGUGGCUAGAGUGCGGGAGAGGAGAGUGGAAUUCCUGGUGUAGCGGUGGAAUGCGCAGAUAUCAGGAAGAACACCCGUGGCGAAGGCGGCUCUCUGGAACGCAACUGACGCUGAGACGCGAAAGCGUGGGGAGCAAACAGG